rnacentral:rRNA from 1 species
AGCAGCCGCGGUAAUUCCAGCUCCAAUAGCGUAUAUUAAAGUUGUUGCAGUUAAAAAGCUCGUAGUUGAAUUUCGGGGUCAGCAGGUUGGUCGUGCCUCUGGUACGCACUGGUUUCGCUGAUUCCUCCUUUCUGAAGAACUGUAAUGUCAUUAAUUUGGUGUUGCAGGGAAACAGGACUGUUACUUUGAAAAAAAUUAGAGUGUUUAAAGCAAGCUAACGCUUGAAUACAUUAGCAUGGAAUAAUGAAAUAGGACGUUUGAUCCUAUUUUGUUGGUUUCUAGGAUUGACGUAAUGAUUAAUAGGGAUAGUUGGGGGCAUUAGUAUUCAAUUGUCAGAGGUGAAAUUCUUGGAUUUAUUGAAGACUAACUACUGCGAAAGCAUUUGCCAAGGAUGUUUUCAUUAAUCAAGAACGAAAGUUAGGGGAUCGAAGACGAUCAGAUACCGUCGUAGUCUUAACCAUAAACUAUGCCGACUAGGGAUCGGAUGAUGUUAAUUUUUUAAUGACUCAUUCGGCGCCUU